AAAGGGUGCGUAGGCGGUUUAUUAAGUCAGUGGUGAAAGACGGUCGCUCAACGAUUGCAGUGCCAUUGAUACUGGUAGACUUGAGUGGGAUUGAGGUAGCUGGAAUGGAUAGUGUAGCGGUGAAAUGCAUAGAUAUUAUCCAGAACACCAAUUGCGUAGGCAAGUUACUAAGUCUCAACUGACGCUGAGGCACGAAAGUGUGGGUAUCAAACAGGAUUAGAUACCCUAGU
rnacentral:rRNA from 1 species